GUUUGUUCUGUGCCUUUGACUUCAAGUCUUCUUUUGUUUGAGUUGACAAAAGAUUAUAGAAUAUUGCUUCCCCUUAUGGUGAAAUUACAGUGAUGUUGACAUGAUGACUGGGGUAAACAUGCAUUUUAAAUGAUGUGAACAUGGUGCUGUUGGACUGGCAAUUUGGGUGCCCUCUGUAACCAUUCAAGCAAAGGAAGUGGGGGCAUCAGUCACCAAGUAUGUAUCAAAAGGAUACUUUAUCCUUUCACCAGAUGAUGAGAAGAAUGAAGGGAAGGACUGGAGACACACGACUGAGAGAUAUGACUUGGAACUAAGUGUGAUUGGAUAUCAUAGCAGUCAUGAAUCUCUUGAUGAAGGCCUAAUUCUGGAAGAUCUAAUGGUUUCUCAGGCUAUGUCAAAUGAUUAUUUGAAGGUCUCUCCAAACCAAACUGUGAAUUACUGGUCUUCAUAGUUUUGUUAUUAUAGGUAAUGCUGAAGAUUAUCUGGAAAGAAUUUUAACAUAGGGUGACAUUAAAUGCAGUUUGUUUAACAACUCAGAGGAUUCUUCCAACAGGGAUUUGGCACUU